UUCGUUAAAAGUUGGAAGAUCUUCGAGGGUUUUCAGGAGUUCAGUCCCUUCUAUUAGUGUUCUGUGGAUAAUAUGAGCAUGAAAACCUGAGAUUUAAAAGACCCAUUACCGUAAAGCACCAUGGAAGUUGAUGCAUUGUAUUUACCAGAUAUGUUUAUCAUUACAACAAAACUAUGUACUUCUAUACGUUUUAUUUAUAUUGAUUUUUAUUAUUCCACAGCAUUAAAAUAGAAAAUAAAACUUUUUUUUGUGAUUUACAAAUGUUUGAUUUGAAACCGAUUAUUAUCUACUUACCCCCUCCUUGUAUCCAG